UUUUUUUUAAUUUUUUUUUUCUAAAUUCUUAGAAUUUUUUUAGUAAUUUAGAGUGAAAAAGAAGGAAAAGAAGAAAAUGAGAAAAUAAAAAUUGUUAUGAGACUAUUAUAUCAGUAAAAAUAAUUUUUUGUUUUUUGUGUGCUUUAAUUAAAGUAACUUGUUUUCUUUCAUCUUAAGGAAUCACACAAACGUUAAAUUUAAUUUUCCUGUGAUCAUCUCUAAACCCUCAAGUCUAAGGAAACACCAAGUGAGUCAGCUUCAAACUUGUCGUUUUGCAGGCAAAAGAGAGUUUUCUUGUUGUGUUUAAUUAGGUCCUUUCUUUUUUAAGAAAAUAGCACUUUGACUUGAAAACGACUUGUCGUUCAGUUACUAUACACAAAUACAAUCUC
rnacentral:misc_RNA from 1 species